UUUUUUUUUUUUAAAUUCAGUUCUUUAUCGAAAAUUAAACAUUUCUUUCCAUUCUUUUUCUGUUGGGAUCGUUAAACUCAAAGAUCGGAUCGUGAACCCUAGUCCAGAGAGCUCUUUCUCUCACUCACCUUCUGUAAGGUAUUAUGGACCGAGAGAGAGAGACUGUGAUCUGAACCGAGUUUUUUUAAACAAAAAUCAAAGUUUGGUAAAAAAAAAAAAUGUCAUCUUCAAACUCGCCGUGUGCAGCGUGUAAGUUUCUUCGUCGAAAAUGCACGCAAGAAUGUGUUUUUGCACCUUAUUUCCCACCAGACCAGCCACAAAAAUUCGCAAACGUGCACAAAGUAUUUGGCGCUAGCAAUGUUGCAAAACUUCUUAACGAACUGAGUACCAACUUACGAGAAGAUGCUGUCAACUCGUUGGCUUACGAGGCCGAGGCUCGCCUUCGUGACCCAGUUUAUGGGUGUGUGGGUCUCAUCUCGAUCCUUCAACACAGACUCAAACAAGUACAGAGUGAUCUUUAUAACGCCAAGAAAGAACUGGCUACAUAUAUUGGCCCUCAAGCUAUGAUGCCUAUAUUACAAGCCCAAGCCUUUAUGCCACAACAGCAUUUGGGUAACCCCUCCUCUUCUGCAGUGAUACAACAGCAUGGCAUGUUGCCGAUGAUGGGUAUACCUACGGGAUCACCUCAUAAUGGGCAGUUGGUGAUUCGUGAUCAACAGCAGCAACAUCAACACCAUCAGCAACAGAUGUUUGAGGCUCAGCAACUGGCGGCAGCCGUAGCUGCGAGAGAACAAGAGAUGUUGAGAAAUUAUGAGCAACAGCAACAGCAACAGCAGCAACAAGAUCUUGUAAGGUUUAAUAGCGGAUUCGAUGGUCCAACAGGGACGGUUACCGCCACUGGGUUUAACCAUAUGAGUGCUGCUGCUAUAUCACCUUCUUUGGCUCUGGGGAGUUUUGAUAACCCAUAUCAGAUUCAACCGCAACAACCAGAGCAUCAUCACCAUUCACAUCCUCAUCAAGCACAGCUUCUGCUUCAAUCACAACAGGCUCAGUCCCAGCCGCAGCAACAGGCACCACAAAGUCAACAGCAGCAAAAAUCUGGAAGCGAGGAGGGCAGGAGUGUUGGUCCUUCUUGUUGAAGUUUUGAAGCUUUUUUCGCUCAGUCGUUGAAGCAAGUUUUUCUAUUCUAGCUAAUAUCUGCCGCACACAAACUGAACAGAGAGAGAGAUCUACAAAUGGAGAUAUGGAAAGAUUCACAUCUGAGAUCCGAAGUCAGCAUUGUUUUUUGUGUUUGAAGAGAGACUUUUUCUGGGGGGAAGAUACAAUUAAAAAAUGUAGGAUCUGCAUUGAUCUUCGAGUACAGCUUUUUUCCUUUUGACUUUA